AGGUUUCGCAGGGCUCUGGAGGAGAAGAGCUGUGUUCCUAAUCACGAUCACAAUGGGAAUGGAGAUUGCAGGGGACUGCAGGGGCCAGGUUCUCAUUCCCCAAAGCUUCCCCUUCAUCAUCCAAGAAGGCACUCAGGUCUGUCUGUGCAAGGCCCCAGGUAAAGUGCUGGGCUACCCAGUAAUUGGGUUCGGUAGCAGGAUGGCCUCAGAUUGAGGUCCCAGGGCCAAAGGACCGCCCCUCUCCCCAGCGUGGGUUCAGGAAAGACAGGCUCCAGGCGGGAGCACACGCCGCGCCCCUGGAGCCCGGCUCCCUCGCCACGCCCACUUCCUGCCCCCAUCCCGCGCCUUUCCAGGUCUUCUCCCGGUGAACCGGAUGCUCUGUCAGUCUCCUCCUCUGCGUCCUCGGCCGCGGCCCGUGUCCCUAGCAAAGCCGCUGCCACCCCGGAGGGCCCAGCCAGUGGGCUCCCGGAGGCUGGCCGGGCAGGCGUGGUGCGCGGUAGGAGCUGGGCGCCCACGGCUACCGCGCGUGGAGGAGACACUGCCCUGCCGCGAUGGGGGCCCGGGGCGCUCCUUCACGCCGUAGGCAAGCGGGGCGGCGGCUGCGGUACCUGCCCACCGGGAGCUUUCCCUUCCUUCUGCUGCUGCUGCUGCUCUGCAUCCAGCUCGGGGGAGGACAGAAGAAAAAGGAGAAUCUUUUAGCUGAAAAAGUAGAGCAGCUGAUGGAAUGGAGUUCCAGACGCUCAAUCUUCCGAAUGAAUGGUGAUAAAUUCCGAAAAUUUAUAAAGGCACCACCUCGAAACUAUUCCAUGAUUGUUAUGUUCACUGCUCUUCAGCCUCAGCGGCAGUGUUCUGUGUGCAGGCAAGCUAAUGAAGAAUAUCAAAUACUGGCAAACUCCUGGCGCUAUUCAUCUGCUUUUUGUAACAAGCUCUUCUUCAGUAUGGUGGACUAUGAUGAGGGGACAGACGUUUUUCAGCAGCUCAACAUGAACUCUGCUCCUACAUUCAUGCAUUUUCCUCCAAAAGGCAGACCCAAGAGAGCUGAUACUUUUGACCUCCAAAGAAUUGGAUUUGCAGCUGAACAACUAGCAAAGUGGAUUGCUGACAGAACGGAUGUUCAUAUUCGGGUUUUCAGACCACCCAACUACUCUGGUACCAUUGCUUUGGCCCUGUUAGUGUCGCUUGUUGGAGGUUUGCUUUAUUUGAGAAGGAACAACUUGGAGUUCAUCUAUAACAAGACUGGUUGGGCCAUGGUGUCUCUGUGUAUAGUCUUUGCUAUGACUUCUGGCCAGAUGUGGAACCAUAUCCGUGGACCUCCAUAUGCUCAUAAGAACCCACACAAUGGACAAGUGAGCUACAUUCAUGGGAGCAGCCAGGCUCAGUUUGUGGCAGAAUCACACAUUAUUCUGGUACUGAAUGCCGCUAUCACCAUGGGGAUGGUUCUUCUAAAUGAAGCAGCAACUUCGAAAGGAGAUGUUGGAAAAAGACGGAUACAUUUUCAUUGAGAAGAAUGUGGAAAAUAUUGAACACAUUGUAUUGUGGAUAAUCUGGUUUGUUGUACCUGUAUGUGCCAUGAACUAUUAAAUUAAUUUGCCUAGUGGGAUUGGGCCUGGUGGUCUUCUUCUUCAGUUUUCUACUUUCAAUAUUUCGUUCCAAGUACCACGGCUAUCCUUAUAGCUUUUUAAUUAAAUGAAGCCAAGUGGGAUUUGCAUAAAGUGAAUGUUUACCAUGAAGAUAAACUGUUCCUGACUUUAUACUAUUUUGAAUUCAUUCAUUUGAUUGUGAUCAGCUAGCUUAUUCUUGUGUACUUUUUUUAAACUGUGGGUUUUCCUAGUAAAUUUAAUUUAUAGAAAUCAAUGGUAGCAUUUAGUGUUCUACAAAGGAAAUAUCAAAGUGUUUUUCAAGCCUAUUAUAUUCAGUGUGUGCCACAGGAUUGAAAUAAAUGACAAUGUAAUUAUGAAUUCAUGUUUUAGAACUGUUUACUCAUUAGUAAAGGACUGCAAUGUUAGUAAAGAAAACCUAUGGCAUGUAUGUUAAAGAUUCUUAGUAUUGUACAGGGAUAAAGCAAAUGCAUGAAAAUAUGUACUGAAAAUUAAACUUACUGCAGUUUCAGUUAUAAAGGACGUGCACUGUUAUAAAUAGUCUUUUGUUAUUAUUAACUAGAUAAAGGUAUAUAGGACAGGGAACUGGAUGAGUGGUACCUAUAAUUUGGAUGCCUAACCAAGGCCUAGAGCUUCUUCUUGAGAUCUGAAUCUAAAGUAAGUAUGCAUUAGAUCAGUGUGCUUCAAAGGCAUCAGACAACAAAAGCAACAUACCACAACUAGGAGUUAAUUCUCAAACUUUAGAUGUCAUCUGGGAAUACAGACUUACAAGUAAGAGCAAACUUAACACGCUAUGUCCAUUUUCGAGGUCACAACCCACUAUGUCCAUUUUCCUCAUGUGUUUUAUGGAACCAGCUUUCCAUCAAAGCCUCAAUCCUCGAAUCCAGACAAAAGGUGAAUUAUCCUAGGAUUAGUGAAUGAUUCAGUGAAGUUUUCUUGAAAACAAAUGUAGGAGUGUAACAUACUAUUAUGUUUGCAUCCUGUUUUAGUUUAUAAAGCACUUACACAUAAUUAUGGUAUUUCUUCCUCACAAUAACCUUGUAAAUUAGUCAGGAAAUGUAAAUUUUGUCUGACUUACAGAAGUGAUGGAAGCUGAAAGCCGAAAAUAAAGUUUAUAGCCAGGCCUUAGAACUCUCAAAUAGGGAUUUUUAUAUUCUGUGGAGUUACCCAAAUUAUGGUUUUAAGAAAGCAGUUCUUCAGUCAGUUCAGUGUUUGCUUUCUCUUUUUAAGGUUUGUUAUCUAAUUUUCAUUAACAUUUGAAUAAUAGACCAUGGAGGAUUGUUUUCAUUGCAAGUUCCAGCUGUAUAGCCUCAAACAAGAAACAGGUAUACAACCACUGAGUUUACUUAUUUAAAUCUAUGAAUUUCAAUGAAGAAUGGAAAAUACAGAGGCCUACUGGGGCAUGUUUAUCAAGUUAUAUCCCAGGGCAGUGAGUAUGUUAGCAGGAUGAAUGGUAUCAUCUUUUCAAAACAUAAUAUUCAGUGAAAAUCACAUAAUUUUAAGUUUAUAGUCAUAAUCCCAAAUCUGUUACUAAAAAUAACAUUAAUUUUCCCAGUUCUUGUACUAAGAUGAAUAAAUUUAGUUUUGGAAUAACAUUUAUGCAAAAGCAAUAGAUGACCUUAGUCAUUUGUUCACUGCCUAUCCCUAGCCAAAACUUGACCUGUAAUUCUUAAUUCAUUGCAGAUUUUUUACAUUUUACUCAAAACUUUGGAGAUUACACAGAGAAUCUCAGGUCAAAUUUUACAAGUAUUAAACAUGUGUUAAUUAUAAUCACUUUUGUUUGUAUCCUUAAAUCUCAGAAUUAUCUUGCAGUUAAUAUGCAGCUGAUUAAAUGAUACUACAAAUUA